rnacentral:rRNA from 1 species
UAGGGAAUCUUCCGCAAUGGACGCAAGUCUGACGGAGCAACGCCGCGUGAGUGAAGAAGGAUUUCGGUUCGUAAAACUCUGUUGUUAGAGAAGAACAGCGCAUAGAGUAACUGUUAUGCGUGUGACGGUAUCUAACCAGAAAGCCACGGCUAACUACGUGCCAGCAGCCGCGGUAAUACGUAGGUGGCAAGCGUUGUCCGGAUUUAUUGGGCGUAAAGCGAGCGCAGGCGGUUAAUUAAGUCUGAUGUGAAAGCCCCCGGCUCAACCGGGGAGGGUCAUUGGAAACUGGUUGACUUGAGUGCAGAAGAGGAGAGUGGAAUUCCAUGUGUAGCGGUGAAAUGCGUAGAUAUAUGGAGGAACACCAGUGGCGAAGGCGACUCUCUGGUCUGUAACUGACGCUGAGGCUCGAAAGCGUGGGUAGCAAACAGG